rnacentral:tRNA from 1 species
GGCCCCAUAGUUUAAUGGAUAGAACAAGACACUCCUAACGUCUCGGUCCACGUUCGAUUCGUGGUGGGGCCA